GAUGAACGCUAGCGGCAGGCCUAACACAUGCAAGUCGAGGGGUAUAGGGAGCUUGCUUCCUAGAGACCGGCGCACGGGUGCGUAACGCGUAUGCAAUCUACCUUGUACAGGGGAAUAGCCCAGAGAAAUUUGGAUUAAUGCCCCAUAGUAUUAUUAAAUGGCAUCCUUUAAUAAUUAAAGUUCCAACGGUACAAGAUGAGCAUGCGUCCUAUUAGUUAGUUGGUGUGGUAACGGCAUACCAAGACGAUGAUGGCUAGGGGGUCUGAGAGGAUGGUCCCCCACACUGGUACUGAGACACGGACCAGACUCCUACGGGAGGCAGCAGUGAGGAAUAUUGGUCAAUGGGCGGAAGCCUGAACCAGCCAUGCCGCGUGCAGGAUGACGGCCCUACGGGUUGUAAACUGCUUUUUCCCCGGGGCGAAUAACCCCCUCGCGAGGGGGAGUGCCGGUACCGGGGAAUAAGGAUCGGCUAACUCCGUGCCAGCAGCCGCGGUAACUAGUCUACG
rnacentral:rRNA from 1 species